rnacentral:rRNA from 1 species
GACGUAGGGCGCGAGCGUUGUCCGGAUUUAUUGGGCGUAAAGAGCUCGUAGGCGGCUUGUUGCGUCAGCUGUGAAAAACCCGCAGCUCAACUGUGGGCUUGCAGCUGAUACGGGCAGGCUUGAGUUCGGUAGGGAGACUGGAAUUCCUGGUGUAGCGGUGAAAUGCGCAGAUAGUCAGGAGGAACACCGGUGGCGAAGGCGGGUCU